GAUUUUGUAGCUCAACAGGAUAGAGUAAUUGCCUACGAAGCAAUAGGUUAUAGGUUCGAAUCCUAUCAAGAUCA
rnacentral:tRNA from 1 species